GAUCAUGGCUCAGGACGAACGCUGGCGGCGUGCCUAAUACAUGCAAGUCGAGCGAGUCUCUUCGGAGGCUAGCGGCGGACGGGUGAGUAACACGUAGGCAACCUGCCUCUCAGACUGGGAUAACAUAGGGAAACUUAUGCUAAUACCGGAUAGGUUUUUGGACCGCAUGGUCCGAAAAGAAAAGAUGGCUUCGGCUAUCACUGGGAGAUGGGCCUGCGGCGCAUUAGCUAGUUGGUGGGGUAACGGCCUACCAAGGCGACGAUGCGUAGCCGACCUGAGAGGGUGACCGGCCACACUGGGACUGAGACACGGCCCAGACUCCUACGGGAGGCAGCAGUAGGGAAUUUUCCACAAUGGACGAAAGUCUGAUGGAGCAACGCCGCCGUGAACGAUGAAGGUCUUCGGAUUGUAAAGUUCUGUUGUUAGGGACGAAUAAGUACCGUUCGAAUAGGGCGGUACCUUGACGGUACCUGACGAGAAAGCCACGGCUAACUACGUGCCAGCCGCCGC
rnacentral:rRNA from 1 species